CAUGACUUAAAUCUAGUUGAUAUUACAGACAGUUUCCCUAACCUUGCUGAAUGGACUUCUGACUGAUGGGACGGCAUACCGUGUCCUGAUCCUGAGCUUGGAAUGGAUCUUACUUCAUCUCCUGUAAAUUUACAGAAGUGACUCGGAGCCAAUUCCACUCUGAAAGUCUUCAAAGGGCUGUAAGUCCCCACAGUCAAUCAAAUAGGCUGCAGUGCUUUUCCUUGGAACAAGCUAAGGUAUUGUUGGAAUGACUUACAUAUCCUGUUGGGUCUUGGUAAUCUCCUCUCUCUAGCGGUGAUGAUGAUGAUGGUUCUGGAGGCAGAGGCGCAGAAGUCCUUGCUGCUUACACAAGUAGAAUAUGGAUUACUCUUCAUUGUCUUUUUUAAGAUAAUAAUCUCAACAGCAACCGUAUGUAGACUCUCACCAGAAGGUGAGUCAUGGGGGGGUUGGGUACUUUUCAUCCAAAGCUCUAAAAGGGGUGCUGGAUAAUAUAUUUCUCCAUUUGCAUUUGCAGAUAAAUCAUCAAUAAGUACCAGAGGUGGCAGCUCCAUGAGGUUAGCUGUCUUCAUUUUAGACAUGAUAUCCCUGCGUGCCUGGAAAGCAUACAGUAUAGUGUUCAAGACUGCAUUUUCUUUUUUGCUGAGUUUGUUAUGCAUGCAAGUCACAUUGACAAUCUAAAUAAUUACAGAUAGGGUAGCUCAUCCCUUAUCUAUCCAAUUGUCUCCUGACAUGCAAGAGUAAGGAAAUUCUCAAGUUGUUAAACUUCUUAUAAAGGUGAACUGUGUUGGAGAACAAGAAAAUACCUUUCUUUUUCUUCCUCUUCUUGAGACAAUAUCGGAAGCAUUCUGAAGCCAGGACUGGUAAGUAGGACCAGGAAUAAUGGUUUGUUCAUAGUCCAUUGCGGGGGUUGCCUGCCUUUUUAUUCUCUUUUUAGUUGGUCCUUUCCUCUGUUGAUCCUCCUUCAUCAUGCUUUCUAGGUCAGUCAAACUUGUAUUAUUUUCUUUAAUGGUUACGCAUAAUCAGCCCUGGAGUUGCUUUAGUUAA